GCUGGACGUGGUAGAACACACCUGUAGUCCCUGAUAUCAGGGAGGCUGAGGCUAGUAGACUGCUUAGGCCCAGGAGUUCUGAACCUCAGUAGACUGACUGGAUGUCUGCACUAAGUCUGGCCCCAAUAUGGUGAAGCCCUGGGGAUCUGGGAGCCAUCAGGCUGCCUGAGGAGGGCAAACCAUCCCAGAUCAGAAAUGGAACAAGUCAAAGUUCCUGUGCCAGUCAGCAAUGCGAUGGGGUCCUUGACUACUAAAUGCAUUUACAGCCUAAAAGAGGGAGAUCCA
rnacentral:SRP_RNA from 1 species